UACGAAGGGGGGCUAGCGUUGCUCGGAAUCACUGGGCGUAAAGCGCACGUAGGCGGAUCUUUAAGUCAGGGGUGAAAUCCCGAGGCUCAACCUCGGAACUGCCUUUGAUACUGGGGAUCUCGAGUCCGGGAGAGGUGAGUGGAACUGCGAGUGUAGAGGUGAAAUUCGUAGAUAUUCGCAAGAACACCAGUGGCGAAGGCGGCUCACUGGCCCGGAACUGACGCUGAGGUGCGAAAGCGUGGGGAGCAAACAGGG
rnacentral:rRNA from 1 species